UACGGAGGAUUCGAGCGUUAUCCGGAUUUAUUGGGUUUAAAGGGAGCGUAGGUGGAUUGUUAAGUCAGUUGUGAAAGUUUGCGGCUCAACCGUAAAAUUGCAGUUGAAACUGGCAGUCUUGAGUACAGUAGAGGUGGGCGGAAUUCGUGGUGUAGCGGUGAAAUGCUUAGAUAUCACGAAGAACUCCGAUUGCGAAGGCAGCUCACUGGACUGCAACUGACACUGAGGCUCGAAAGUGUGGGUAUCAAACAGG
rnacentral:rRNA from 1 species